CAUAUUCAGUGUGUUUGGGGAUGGUGAACUUAUAACCCAACUCUGAUUGGUUCCUGCCCACAACGUUGUCCCUGACCUGACUGGAGAGCCGGUGUGCCUUCAUUAGAGUUUCAGAACAGCUGAAUGCUGCUGAGAUCAUGUGACCGUCAGAGAGAACACAGGUGGACCUGAAUGCAGCUCAUUAUGGGACUUCUGAAGGCAAACGGGUCACAACUGAUUAUUUAGGAGCUUCUUAAGCAGAGGGGCAGGUGGCGACAUUCUUCCAGGUCAGUUCACUCAGAUCUGCCUGAAAACCUGCAGGUACUUUGAGCCCAUAAAACCAGUGAAAUCCAUGUGUGACCCGGCUGCAGGUCGACUCGUCUGAUAAAAUACCGUGUAAUGAAAUCACUGUUUAAAUUCAGCCCUGAUUUGAUCAGAUGUUCUCAACUUCCUGAAGACUUCUGGAAAGAUAUCUGGAGCCUUAAGAUGGUGCAGAAAGUUCCAGGACGGCUAGGAGCAGAUCAGAGCCAGUUCCAGGCUUGGACCGAACUUCACCACAAGCAGAAUCAGGUGUGUUGAAGCAGAUUUUUCCUGCUCCAACACACCUGCAAGUCCUGCAGGACAGGACCAAGGGUUGCCCAUCAGCUU